GCUGGGCAUGGUGGCUCAUGCCUGUAAUCCCAGCACUUUAGGAGGCUGAGGCAGGUGGAUUGCCUGAGGUCAGGAGUUCAAGACCAGCCUGGCCAAUAUGGUGAAACCCUGUCUCUA
ensembl:misc_RNA Metazoa_SRP Metazoan signal recognition particle RNA